CGCGUGAGGGAGGGGCUCUUGGGUUGUAAACCUCUUUUCUCAGGGAAGAAAAAAAUGACGGUACCUGAGGAAUAAGCAUCGGCUAACUCCGUGCCAGCAGCCGCGGUAAUACGGAGGAUGCAAGCGUUAUCCGGAAUUAUUGGGCGUAAAGCGUCCGCAGGUGGCACAUCAAGUCUGCUGUCAAAGACCGGGGCUUAACCCUGGAAAGGCAGUGGAAACUGAAGUGCUAGAGUGCAGGAGGGGUAGAGGGAAUUCCCGGUGUAGCGGUGAAAUGCGUAGAUAUCGGGAAGAACAUCGGUGGCGAAGGCGCUCUACUGGACUGCAACUGACACUCAAGGACGAAAGCUAGGGGAGCGAAUGGGAUUAGAUACCCCUAG
rnacentral:rRNA from 2 species